AAUAACAGAAACUUAGGAUAACUCACUAAACCGAAGGCCUUCAAAGCCUUAAAUAAGAGCUAAACCCUCUUAGUUUCUGCUAAAGUCC
rnacentral:tRNA from 1 species